GAUGAACGCUGGCGGCGUGCCUAAUACAUGCAAGUCGAGCGAACGGACGAGAAGCUUGCUCCUCUGAUGUUAGCGGCGGACGGGUGAGUAACACGUGGAUAACCUACCUAUAAGACUGGGAUAACUUCGGGAAACCGGAGCUAAUACCGGAUGAUAUUUUGAACCGCAUGGUUCAAAAGUGAAAGACGGUCUUGCUGUCACUUAUAGAUGGUUCCGCGCUGCAUUAGCUAGUUGGUAAGGUAACGGCUUACCAAGGCAACGAUGCAUAGCCGACCUGAGAGGAUGAUCGGCCACACUGGAACUGAGACACGGUCCAGACUCCUACGGGAGGCAGCAGUAGGGAAUCUUCCGCAAUGGGCGAAAGCCUGACGGAGCAACGCCGCGUGAGUGAUGAAGGUCUUCGGAUCGUAAAACUCUGUUAUUAGGGAAGAACAUAUGUGUAAGUAACUGUGCACAUCUUGACGGUACCUAAUCAGAAAGCCACGGCUAACUACGUG
rnacentral:rRNA from 1 species